UAUAUGUUACCUUACUAUCAACUAUUUUUUUUUUAAUUCUGUUAUACAGAGAUUGUUAUUAAUAUUAUAUCAGACAUUACAAUUACAAUAUUUACAAUCAUACUAAACAACUGAGACUAUCAUCAUAUAUUAACCCACUGAAGCACUUAUCCAAAUAUUUUAAACAUUCUCUAAUAUUCGAAGGAUGCCUACUCCACUCACAUUUCGUAAAGGAGAAAUUGUCUCCACUCAAUUAGUUAAUAAUUGAGGGAGAACUGAAACUAACCUCCAUAAUACUCUUAUGAAGGCUCAAACCCUUGCACUCAACAUUGUAAGUACAAGACUUCUCCCAUUGGACCAAAGGUCCCUAGGUUUCUGUCAACUAUUUAAAGAGUAGUAAAAUACAAGAUUUUGUAUUUCUUUAGUAGUAAAAUACUAAGAUGCAAUACUUGUUACACUUAUUUGUUAUUUCACAAUAACUUAAGCAUCAAAAAGAAAAUAACCCAACUAAAAAAUGUAAUCAAUAAUUUCUUGACACCAAACGAAAAUGUAACAUUGCAAAAUUAAAAUAAAAAAGAAGAAGAAAAUACACAAAAGGUAAUUAUCCUUAUUUCGUAAGCAUAGAGUACAAGUGAAACCAGGCGGCUGUGAAGUAAUUUGAUGGAGCAAAUGCAAUGAGAAAGAGCUAAUGGUGGUCCUUCGAGCAGAUUACUGUCUACAGAUGGAAGAAAAUCCGGUGGAUCAAUGUGGAGGGGACAAUAAAUUACCUAUCAUUUUCGUAUUCUUGGGCCGAACGCAUAAGCUUGCAAUAUCAAACUUUAUUUGCAUUUGAGUGAAGAACUAAACUAAGAAAUUUAUUAACGAAUGAAAUAUUGCCACUUAUAUAGUUAGUACCACACGUCCAUUAAAAUUGACAAUUCAGAUAAUAGAUACAAAUUGCAUUUGUCCCGGAUUAGAGAUUAAUACAAGUAUGGUGGUUAUGGUUUACAUUGACCCCGGAUUGAAAAUCAAUAACCAAAAGUUGAUUUAUGCGUAAGGUUCAGAGAAAACUAACAAUAAUCAGACUCGAAAAUGUUAACAAUAAGUAGCGCUUGAUUGUUAACGGAAUCACGUGCAAACAAUUUAUGUUGUGUUUACUUGCUGGAGUGAGAGUGAGGAGUGUGGAUUCCUCCUACUCCAUCGUUUACUUACUUAAAAUGGGGAGGGAUUGGGAGUCCCACUCCGUGGGCCCCACCCAUUUUUGGAGUGGGGAGUGGGACUCCCAUUGGGGGAGGUGGGAGUGGGAAUCCACUCCCA
rnacentral:lncRNA from 1 species